rnacentral:antisense_RNA from 1 species
GGGUGCUUGAGACUGUUUGUCUCAGGUAUUCACCGAAAGGCAGACAGAGAAAAGCCCCACCUGACUAUAAAUCAAAGUGUACUGCACCCAUUUUGUUGGACGAUGAAAUGGAAUAGUCCCUGAUAUGUCAAAGCCAAAAUACCCCUUCGAAAAG